AUGUAACACUGUGACCAAAUAUAUUUCAAUCAAGUGCUAUUAACAGGUGGUUAUCGAGUUGGCAUUAAUCACUGGUGGCCCGCUCUAAAUGAUUUUCGAGUGGUUAUCGACAUCAUGUUGACCGAGCGACGAAAAGUGCUACAAAAGUGAUGGAAUCCAACCCCGUCUUGCCCUCCACAGGCAGCACGGCCUAUUGUUUCAGCCAUAAUUUUACAUGAUUACUUUUACUGAGUGAAAUGGCAUCACUGCAGCGAUUGUAGUUCUUCUCUUUCGCACUAGACUGUCAUCCAAAACAAAAGCGAGCGAAUGGAUGAUGUUAUCUUGUAUUCUUCAAAACAUGGAAACCAUGUCUGCAUGUUUCUUCAGCUGUGAACCUGCGAUCUUCUUGAAACACAAAAGCUGAAAUUGAACGCUGCAUGGGAAAAUCACAAUGGACACUUACACGAUUUCUUAGAAUGACCUUAUGGGUCACCAAAGCAAAAGGAACAAUUCUAAUCGAUACGUAUCGAACAGCAGAGUAAUGAAACGAGUGAUUCAAGCUUAUUGGAGUGAUGGUGGAGUUCCUGGAGUUCAUAAUUGGUUAUGAGGAUGAUGGUGAUUCCACUGUUGUGCUGGUUUCCAGCGGAAGAAGAGACAGACGAAAAUAAAAUUUCAGUGGAUGAGAUGAAUUUGGUGCACAGCGAGAAAAGGGAUGCGGCUAGUGUAUUGAUUGGAAACAACAAUCUGAAGGAAGAUCCAUCAGCAAAACGAACGCAAUAACAUUAAACAGAUAUCAUCGUAGCGUAAUUUUCCUGGAUGUCAUUUUUCAUUAUUUUAGUCAUAUAUUAAGAAAAGUGGAAAUGGAUUAUAUUAUAUUCUGAAUCGGAAUAUUCGUAUAAAAAUUGAUUAUCAAAUCA